rnacentral:rRNA from 1 species
AUUGAACGCUGGCGGCAUGCUUUACACAUGCAAGUCGAGCGGCAGCGCGGGGGCAACCCUGGCGGCGAGCGGCGAACGGGUGAGUAAUGCAUCGGAACGUAUCCUCGAGUGGGGGAUAACCCAGCGAAAGUUGGGCUAAUACCGCAUGAGCUCUGAGGAGGAAAGCGGGGGACCUGCGAGGGCCUCGCGCUGGAGGAGCGGCCGACGUCCGAUUAGCUAGUUGGUGGGGUAAAGGCUUACCAAGGCGACGAUCGGUAGCUGGUCUGAGAGGAUGAUCAGCCACACUGGGACUGAGACACGGCCCAGACUCCUACGGGAGGCAGCAGUGGGGAAUUUUGGACAAUGGGGGCAACCCUGAUCCAGCCAUGCCGCGUGAGUGAAGAAGGCCUUCGGGUUGUAAAGCUCUUUCGGACGGAACGAAAUGGGCGGGACUAAUACUCCUGUCUGAUGACGGUACCGUAAGAAGAAGCACCGGCUAACUACGUG